UACGUAGGGGGCAAGCGUUGUCCGGAAUCAUUGGGCGUAAAGAGCGUGUAGGCGGUCCGGUAAGUCCGCUGUAAAAGUCAAGGGCUCAACCCUUGAAAGCCGGUGGAUACUGCCGGGCUAGAGUCCGGAAGAGGCGAGUGGAACUCCUGGUGUAGCGGUGAAAUGCGCAGAUAUCAGGAAGAACACCUACGGCGAAGGCAGCUCGCUGGGACGGUACUGACGCUGAGACGCGAAAGCGUGGGGAGCAAACAGG
rnacentral:rRNA from 1 species